UCUUAUCCCUAUCUGGCCUCUGCAUCCUCAUCCUCCUCCACCACUGGAUCCGGCCACAGCCAAGGUUUCCUCUCACCCACCUUAGAGCGGCGAGGUAUGCUACUUCUCCACCCGUCGGCGAGGUGCGGGCGCCGGCCGCUGGCCGACGUGGGGGUCGUGUCGUUCCUUGUGCAGCAGCUCACGGUGACCUACACGUCCGCCAACGGCGAGGACGCGGCUGACACGCUACUCAGCAUCUCCCUCCCCGCAGCUCAUGUCAUCCCCCGUCCCGGUUGUCUCCCAUCCGGCCAGCAACAAUCUCGUCCUACCUAGCUUGGAUCCGUGGAUGGCGAGUGGAUCUGGCAACUUGGAUGCCGGUGGCUGCGGCUCAUCUCCAACCCAAUGCACCGUGUACUAGUUAAUGCAAGUGAUCAAUUGAUGUUUGGAGCGUAUACAUCUCAAAAGCAAACAUUUGUGUUGUCUGUCCAGUUAAUUAAGAUGCUGAUUGAAUUGUGUACAUCUCAAAAGCAUAAAUUGGAAUUUGUGGAUUUUUAAAAAAAAAUCCUAAUUAGUUAGUAGUAGCGCGGGGCAGCAUCCUGCGCUGCUGUAGCGCGUGUGCAUCCCACGCUACUACUAUCACAACUAGCAUGGGAUCACAACUAGCUGUAGUGCAGGGUAAAAAACGCGCUACUGCUAAAAUUUAGCUGUAGCGUCGUAGCAUUAGCGCGGGCACCAGCGCUACUGAUAGCCAAAAAAACCCACGCUACUAAUAGCCUUUUUCCUAGCAGUGCAUCUUUUUCUUGUUUGUCUUGUUCUUGUUCGUGGUACACCGUAGAUCUGAAGAGAUUAGGUUCGUUUUUUGUGUGGAUCAAGCGAAGAUUAAUAGCUUAGUUAUUUUUUCAUGUCAUUAUUGUUUAAGCAGUCAAUAGAUUGGAGGUGUUUUUUCUGUGGUUCAUGCAGAUGUAAGGUUUGGGGUAGUUUUUGUAGUGCAUCAAGAGCGGCCAGAGUGAGCGGGUGCUUUUGUUUUUCUGUUAGGUGAUGCAGAUGUAACACCAAGUAAACUGCACUCUUUAGUGUUUAAUUUCAGUUAGGUUCAGUUAGUUUAGUUAUUUUGCUUCUUAGUCUGAAAUUCAUGUCUGCUACACUGUAGGAGUUCGUCACUGUGCCCCUGUAUCCAUUAGAGUAGAUGGGAUUUUGUAUGUCCAUAUUACCCCCCCCCCCCCGGCCCCCGCCUGUUCUUUUUUUGUUUUGUAUCAAAUAUGUGAUUAGUAGUUUCAAGCAGAGAAUCACCCCCAUAGUUUAGACCUUAUUUUCUUAGGUUUGAUUCUUUUGUGCGUUGAUGCACAAUAGUCUCUCGCUCUCGCGUGUCUAUCGGCAAUGUCGGUGUGGUGGAUUUUUUUAUGAUGAAACUGGAUUCUUUGCUUGUAGCUAGAUUCACUUACCUCGAUAAAUAAAGCCCCGUUUUUAUGUGUCACCUUUUUUGUCAUUCAGAUUUUUUGCUGCGUUUUUUGAGGUUCUUUCCAGUAAAGAUUAUUUUACAACCAGUAGCACUAAAUUUCUUAGUAGGCCAAGAGACUGAGAUGAAGUGUGUUUCUCCGCUGGAUUGUACUGGAAGUCGUUUUUUAUCAACAUGUUUUUUUAUGCUUGUAGGUACAUAUAGAGAAAUUUUUACACCGCUCUGUACAUCCUCUGUACAGAGAGUAUAGUGCACUUUUUUUACACCCUCUGUUCAUGAGUAGGUGACAAGAGAGAUGUGUGUUUAGGAUUUUUUGCUAUGUUGAACAUUCUUUUUUAUUUUUUAGUAUAUAAACCUCUGCUAGUUAUCCUUUUUUUGGACACUUUUUCUUCUUCUUUUUUAUCGGGUGAGGGCUAUCACUUAUACUGUUCUUAACUGGGAAAUUUUUGGUGUCUCAAGAAGUGCUUCUCUCAUAUCCCCUCAUACAAAUUACUGAAACCAUUAGUGGGAGUGAUUCAAUCCCUUGUUUUGUUUUAUUCUAGUCGAGAGUAGUAGGUCGAAGAAUAUGAUUUUGCUGAAACAUUACUUUCGCGAAAUCAGUUCCAUGUUUUUUGAGGAUUAUCUCCGAACUCAAAUCCCCUCAUAUGUAUUACUGGGCCAUCACUAGGAGUUGUAUAGUCCUUUUGUUUGUUUUACUUAGGUUUUUCGCUGAAAUCUUUUCUCUCGAAACAAGAGAGGUUUUUUAUUACUGGAUGUAUUAGCAGUAGUGUGGUAUGUUUAUUUUAUUUCUCAUAAUCCCUAUCUAAUCUGCAGCAUGUUUAAUCUGAAAUCUUUUUUUUGUAAACAGGAGAUAUUACUGCUGAAAUUUAUCACUAGGGAGUGGGUUGUUUAUUUUUUAUUUUAUUUUGCUUCGACUCUUUUUUAAUUCAGAAGCAUGUUCAAAUCUAUCAUUUUUUUGCGUAUUCAAAAAGAGAAUGAUUUAAUGAAAGUAAGUUUCUAGCAGCAGCAUGUUUUCUUUAGUUUUCUUUUUUUCUCCCUAAAAACCAUAUGAAAUUAGUGUGAUGUUCAUUUUUAUUUUGUAUAUGAAUUAAUCUGGUCUUUUGAUAUACUCCCUCCGUCCUUUAAAGAGUGUAUUCCAACUUUGUUGGAGGGUCAAACUAUCUCAAACUUUGAACGAGUUUAUGCAAAAAUAUAUCAAUGUUUGUGAAAACAAAUGGGCAUACGAUGAAAAUAUAUUUUAUCAUGAAUCUAAAUCUACUCAUUUGAUGGCAUAAAUGUUGGUGUACUAUUGUAUAAAUACGGUCAAACAUAAAACAGUUUGACUUUCCAACAAAGUUGGAAGUACACUCUUUAAAGGGCGGAGGGAGUAUUCAUCAUCUUUUUUCUCUCCACAUCGCAAAUGUAUGUAUGCUUCUUUGUUUCAUCAGCGGCGACGCUAAUGAUAUAUAUCAUUAUCUCGAAAUCCUUUUUCUUCGGAAGCAUACAAGUUUAUUUUGCACUAAAAAUCAUUUAGCUGAAUAUGUAUGCAUAUCAGUAGCACAUAUUUAUGUUUUUGGCCUUUUUUUAUGUGCACAGGAGAUGGUUUGCAGAGUUUGUCUGAGCCCUUGCUACCGUGAGAGCAACAAGCGGCAUCAGCAUGUAUGUCUGGAAGGAGUUCAAAAAUACAGGGGUUGUGCCAUGCAACGCGAAAGAGUUCAUUUCAACGACCUGACAGGAGAUAGGCUGAAGUUUAAGGCAAACAAAUGGACAUACACCGUCAAGUGCCACAAGGGGCCCAGAGAGGGUGCAAUGUAUGGGACUGGUUGGAGGAAGUUCGUUUCAGACAACAAGUUGGGGAAGCUCUUCUACUUGGACUGGCCUUCCUCAAGGGCAGUUGUAUGUGUGAUUUAAUUCGGGAAUGGCACCGAAGAAUGAAGGAUUCGAGGAUGAGACCCAACGUACCCUUCUUUUUAUGCUAUGUUGAACUCUCUAACUCGUAUGUCAAGAUCCGUCGUUGUGUGUUUAUGUUUAAUGCAACUAAGUUUGUUA